rnacentral:ncRNA from 1 species
GGUCGGAUAAGGCGUUCAAGCCUUAUCCGACAAUUGUGCAAAGUGCCUGAUGCGACGCAGUAAGCGUUUUAUCAGGCC